CUGGCGGCGUGCUUAACACAUGCAAGUCGAAUGUAUUAAUACAUGGCGGACGGGUGAGUAACGCGUGAGCAACCUGCCCAUAUCUGGGGGAUAACAGUUGGAAACGACUGAUAAUACCGCAUAACAUCGUCGGAAGGCAUCUUCUGACGAUCAAAGAUUUAUCGGAUAUGGAUGGGCUCGCGUCUGAUUAGCUUGUUGGUGAGGUAACGGCUCACCAAGGCGACGAUCAGUAGCCGACCUGAGAGGGUGAUCGGCCACAUUGGAACUGAGACACGGUCCAAACUCCUACGGGAGGCAGCAGUGGGGAAUAUUGGGCAAUGGAGGAAACUCUGACCCAGCAACGCCGCGUGAAUGAUGAAGGUCUUCGGAUUGUAAAGUUCUUUUCUAAGGGAAGAAGAAAGUGACGGUACCUUAGGAAUAAGCCUCGGCUAACUACGUGCCAGCAGCCGCGGUAAUACGUAGGAGGCAAGCGUUAUCCGGAAUGACUGGGCGUAAAGGGUGCGUAGGUGGUUUGACAAGUUGGUAGCGUAACUCCGGGGCUCAACCUCGGCACUACUACCAAAACUGCCAGACUUGAGUGCAGGAGGGGCAAAUGGAAUUCCUAGUGUAGCGGUGGAAUGCGUAGAUAUUAGGAGGAACACCAGUGGCGAAGGCGAUUUGCUGGACUGUAACUGACACUGAGGCACGAAAGCGUGGGGAGCAAACAAGAUUAGAUACCCUGGUAGUCCACGCUGUAAACGAU
rnacentral:rRNA from 1 species